UGAGGAAUAUUGGUCAAUGGACGAGAGUCUGAACCAGCCAAGUCGCGUGAAGGAAGACGGCCCUACGGGUUGUAAACUUCUUUUGUAAGGGAAUAAAUAGUCUUACGCGCUAAGACGUUGCUGGUACCUUAUGAAUAAGGAUCGGCUAACUCCGUGCCGGCAGCCGCGGUAAUACGGAGGAUCCGAGCGUUAUCCGGAUUUAUUGGGUUUAAAGGGUGCGCAGGCGGCAUGUUAAAUCGGCGGUGAAAUUUUGCAGCUCAACUGUAAAAGAGCCUUCGAAACUGGCAAGCUUGAGUGUGGAUGAAGUAGGCGGAAUUUGUGGUGUAGCGGUGAAAUGCAUAGAUAUCACAAAGAACACCGAUUGCGCAGGCAGCUUACUAAACCAUAACUGACGCUCAUGCACGAAGGCGUGGGGAUCAAACAG
rnacentral:rRNA from 1 species